UACGAAGGGGGCUAGCGUUGUUCGGAUUUACUGGGCGUAAAGCGCACGUAGGCGGAUCGUUAAGUCGGGGGUGAAAUCCUGGAGCUCAACUCCAGAACUGCCUUUGAUACUGGGAAGCUCGAGUCCGGGAGAGGUGAGUGGAACUCCGAGUGUAGAGGUGAAAUUCGUAGAUAUUCGCAAGAACACCAGUGGCGAAGGCGGCUCACUGGACUGGUAUUGACGCUCAUGCACGAAAGCGUGGGGAGCAAACAGG
rnacentral:rRNA from 1 species